rnacentral:rRNA from 1 species
AGCUUGCUUCUCUUGAGAGCGGCGGACGGGUGAGUAAUGCCUAGGAAUCUGCCUGGUAGUGGGGGAUAACGUUCGGAAACGGACGCUAAUACCGCAUACGUCCUACGGGAGAAAGCAGGGGACCUUCGGGCCUUGGCGCUAUCAGAUGAGCCUAGGUCGGAUUAGCUAGUUGGUGGGGUAAUGGCUCACCAAGGCGACGAUCCGUAACUGGUCUGAGAGGAUGAUCAGUCACACUGGAACUGAGACACGGUCCAGACUCCUACGGGAGGCAGCAGUGGGGAAUAUUGGACAAUGGGCGAAAGCCUGAUCCAGCCAUGCCGCGUGUGUGAAGAAGGUCUUCGGAUUGUAAAGCACUUUAAGUUGGGAGGAAGGGUUGUAGAUUAAUACUCUGCAGUUUUGACGUUACCGACAGAAUAAGCACCGGCUAACUCUGUGCCAGCAGCCGCGGUAAUACAGAGGGUGCAAGCGUUAAUCGGAAUUACUGGGCGUAAAGCGCGCGUAGGUGGUUUGUUAAGUUGGAUGUGAAAUCCCCGGGCUCAACCUGGGAACUGCAUUCAAAACUGACUGACUAGAGUAUGGUAGAGGGUGGUGGAAUUUCCUGUGUAGCGGUGAAAUGCGUAGAUAUAGGAAGGAACACCAGUGGCGAAGGCGA